UAAACCUUCAUUUCUUGUAAACAAUUACGUUUUAUAUACGUUGGCAAUAACAAGCAGAUAGUACUCGUAAGAGUAGGUAGGUACUAACAUAGGUACAGAUUAACAAUGUUCAGCAAUAUUUUCGAAAUUUCCAUUUGAAUCAUGUUAUUCUGUGUAUUCCGAAGCAUCAUCAAUUCAAACACAUAUACCUAUCCAAGAUACCGACGACAAUUUGAUAAGAUAUGCAAAUAUUCAACGCAUAUAACAUUCCAUUAUGAGUAAAGAUAGGUUAGGUGAAUUGUUGAAGGUUAGAAAUAAAAGUGAAGUCAACAUAGAAGUCGAAAAUGUACCGACGACAAACGGAGACGUUAAUUUGAAAAAAACAUUCGAGAGAGCUGAGGUGAUAGGCCAAUGGAUAGAGCGGGU